UACGUAGGGUGCAAGCGUUGUCCGGAAUUAUUGGGCGUAAAGAGCUCGUAGGCGGUUCGUCGCGUCGGCUGUGAAAUCCCGGAGCUCAACUCCGGGUCUGCAGUCGAUACGGGCGGACUUGAGUUCGGCAGGGGAGACUGGAAUUCCUGGUGUAGCGGUGAAAUGCGUAGAUAUCUGGAGGAACACCGGUGGCGAAGGCGGCGUUCUGGACUGCAACUGACACUGAGGAACGAAAGCCAGGGGAGCAAACGGG
rnacentral:rRNA from 1 species